AGCUUAGCACAAUGCUUAGCACAGACUGUGUUCUUUACACUGACUGUAUAGAAAAAGGAGGUACAGUAACUGAACCCCAUAAACACCUUAGCCCAGGCCCUUUGCCUGGUCUGUAUUGUGAAUGGGGGGGCAUGG